rnacentral:rRNA from 1 species
UAAUACGUAUGGUGCAAGCGUUAUCCGGAUUUACUGGGUGUAAAGGGAGCGCAGGCGGUGCGCCAAGUCUGAUGUGAAAGCCCGGGGCUCAACCCCGGGACUGCAUUGGAAACUGGAGCACUAGAGUGUCGGAGAGGUAAGUGGAAUUCCUAGUGUAGCGGUGAAAUGCGUAGAUAUUAGGAGGAACACCAGUGGCGAAGGCGGCUUACUGGACGACAACUGACGCUGAGGCUCGAAAGCGUGGGGAGCAAACAGGAUUAGAUACCCUGGUAGUCCACGCUGUAAACGAUGAAUACUAGGUGUGGGGAGACACAGUCUCUCGGUGCCGCAGCUAACGCAAUAAGUAUUCCACCUGGGGAGUACGUUCGCAAGAAUG